AGAGUUUGAUCAUGGCUCAGAUUGAACGCUGGCGGCAGGCCUAACACAUGCAAGUCGAACGGUAACAGGAAACAGCUUGCUGUUUCGCUGACGAGUGGCGGACGGGUGAGUAAUGUCUGGGAAACUGCCUGAUGGAGGGGGAUAACUACUGGAAACGGUAGCUAAUACCGCAUAACGUCGCAAGACCAAAGAGGGGGACCCUCGGGCCUCUUGCCAUCGGAUGUGCCCAGAUGGGAUUAGCUUGUUGGUGGGGUAACGGCUCACCAAGGCGACGAUCCCUAGCUGGUCUGAGAGGAUGACCAGCCACACUGGAACUGAGACACGGUCCAGACUCCUACGGGAGGCAGCAGUGGGGAAUAUUGCACAAUGGGCGCAAGCCUGAUGCAGCCAUGCCGCGUGAAUGAAGAAGGCCUUCGGGUUGUAAAGUACUUUCAGCGGGGAGGAAGGGAGUAAAGUUAAUACCUUGCUCAUUGACGUUACCCGCAGAAGAAGCACCGGCUAACUCCGUGCCAGCAGCCGCGGUAAUACGGAGGGUGCAAGCGUUAAUCGGAAUUACUGGGCGUAAAGCGCACGCAGGCGGUUUGUUAAGUCAGAUGUGAAAUCCCCGGGCUCAACCUGGGAACUGCAUCUGAUACUGGCAAGCUUGAGUCUCGUAGAGGGGGGUAGAAUUCCAGGUGUAGCGGUAAAAUGCGUAGAGAUCUGGAGGAAUACCGGUGGCGAAGGCGGCCCCCUGGACGAAGACUGACGCUCAGGUGCGAAAGCGUGGGGAGCAAACAGGAUUAGAUACGCUGGUAGUCCACGCCGUAAACGAUGUCGACUUGGAGGUUGUGCCCUUGAGGCGUGGCUUCCGGAGCUAACGCGUUAAGUCGACCGCCUGGGGAGUACGGCCGCAAGGUUAAAACUCAAAUGAAUUGCCGGGGGCCCGCACAAGCGGUGGAGCAUGUGGUUUAAUUCGAUGCAACGCGAAGAACCUUACCUGGUCUUGACAUCCACGGAAGUUUUCAGAGAUGAGAAUGUGCCUUCGGGAACCGUGAGACAGGUGCUGCAUGGCUGUCGUCAGCUCGUGUUGUGAAAUGUUGGGUUAAGUCCCGCAACGAGCGCAACCCUUAUCCUUUGUUGCCAGCGGUCCGGCCGGGAACUCAAAGGAGACUGCCAGUGAUAAACUGGAGGAAGGUGGGGAUGACGUCAAGUCAUCAUGGCCCUUACGACCAGGGCUACACACGUGCUACAAUGGCGCAUACAAAGAGAAGCGACCUCGCGAGAGCAAGCGGACCUCAUAAAGUGCGUCGUAGUCCGGAUUGGAGUUUGCAACUCGACUCCAUGAAGUCGGAAUCGCUAGUAAUCGUGGAUCAGAAUGCCACGGUGAAUACGUUCCCGGGCCUUGUACACACCGCCCGUCACACCAUGGGAGUGGGUUGCAAAAGAAGUAGGUAGCUUAACCUUCGGGAGGGCGCUUACCACUUUGUGAUUCAUGACUGGGGUGAAGUCGUAACAAGGUA
rnacentral:rRNA from 1 species